rnacentral:rRNA from 1 species
UACGGAGGAUGCGAGCGUUAUCCGGAUUUAUUGGGUUUAAAGGGUGCGUAGGCGGUCUGUUAAGUCAGCGGUAAAAGCCCGGGGCUCAACUCCGGCAAGCCGUUGAAACUGGCGGACUAGAGAAGGCGAGAAGUACGCGGAAUGCGCAGUGUAGCGGUGAAAUGCAUAGAUAUUGCGCAGAACUCCGAUUGCGAAGGCAGCGUACCGGCGCCUGACUGACGCUGAGGCACGAAAGCGUGGGGAUCAAACAGG